GGAGGGUUGGCCGAGUGGCUUAAGGCGACGGUUUGCUAAACCGUUGUCCCGCAAGGGACACGUGGGUUCGAAUCCCACACCCUCCGCCA
rnacentral:tRNA from 1 species